AAACAAUUUCAGAAAUUUCCAUUCCGCAAAAUAAAACAAGUCAAUGUAAAUUAUAUGGUUAGUUCAUUUGGGUCAAGUUGUUUUACGCGUGAAAGCUGAAAACAUUCUCUCCCAAAAGCUUCACUCUCUCGCCCCAUCAAUACUCUCAGCUCUCUUACCGAUUCCACAGUUGAUGUGCCUUUUAAUUUUUUGUUUCAAUUAGUUGCUGUUGUUUGUUUCCAAAGGCCAAGGGAGGUCAUUUAUUUCUUCAGUGAUACGAGUUUACUAUGAAACUUCAAUGGAUUAACGCUCGGACUCACAUAGCAGUAUUACAACUUUAUCAUUCAUCAGUUUUGCUAAUUAAUGGUUAUUUCUUUUCGUUUAGGAAAUAUUCAUAAUAUUGUAAGAAUUAAGUAUGACAUGAAUCUCCAUUUGUGUUUACCUCUCCCCGUCUCUUCGCCUAUGACUGAAGGUGCUUGCUGUUUUGCCCAAAUGAAAAUGGAAACAUCCCCUGGGAUACCCCACAUAACUUUUGGUUUUUUACAAAGGUAGUUUCAUAAAAACAUCUCCUGGAGUCGUGUACUUUUUAAGAAAUGAAUUACCAAAAAACAUUUAAAAAAAAAAAAAGAAAUUUUCACACGACAGGAUAAUUGCAUUGUUUAAAAAAUAUAAAACAAAUCGAUAAAAUUAGUAGCAAUAUUUAUAUUAUUUUUAAAAAUUACUAUAUUUAUAUUAAGUUUCAUUUGUAAUUUUCAGCAUCGUAUAAUUAUAUCAACAUUUAAAAUACCAAAUCUAAAUUAAUUCAAAAUUAAACGAAUAAACAAUUAAAUUAUCAAUCUAAAUCAAAAUUUUCGAAAUUUAUCGUAUACUUCCACCCCUAGUUUCCCUAUAUUUUCCGCAACUCGACUGCUACUUUUUUUUUUCUUAUUUCAGUGCUACAAAAAAAUCCAGAAAAAAACGCAAAAAAAAAAAAACAGAAGAAAAAAAAUGAAGUAUUUAAUUGACUUCUAUCUUUUUCCUGUACAAAAAGAAAGGUAUUAAAAGCAACCCCUUACUGUACAUUUUAGGAGCAAAAAAUCUGUUCAAAAACUUGCUGCUGAUUCGCCACUUUCAAAACCACCUUUACUGUUAACACUAACGCUAAUUGUGCCAUUAAUCCUGCCAUUUAUCCAAUAAGUCGAACACUCGGGACUGGCUUCUGAAGUAUUGAUGUACCCUGGAAGAUCAUCAUUUG